AACGAACGCUGGCGGCAUGCCUAACACAUGCCAGUCGAACGAGACCUUCGGGUCUAGUGGCGCACGGGUGCGUAACGCGUGGGAACCUGCCCUUAGGUUCGGAAUAACUCCCCGAAAGGGGUGCUAAUACCGGAUAAUGUCUUCGGACCAAAGAUUUAUCGCCUUUGGAUGGGCCCGCGUUGGAUUAGCUAGUUGGUAGGGUAAAAGCCUACCAAGGCGACGAUCCAUAGCUGGUCUGAGAGGAUGAUCAGCCACACUGGGACUGAGACACGGCCCAGACUCCUACGGAAGGAGGCAGGGGGGAAUAUUGGAAAAGGGGGGAAACCCUGACCAACCAUGGCCGGGGGAGUGAUGAAGCCGUUGGGGUUGAAAAGCUUUUUUCCCCGGGAUGAUAAUGACAGUACCGGGAAAAAAAGCGCCGGCUAACUCCGUG
rnacentral:rRNA from 1 species